UACCACCUGGCUACCUGUAUAACAUAAAGUAUUUGCAAUUUUUUUGAAAUUUGUAAAUACUUUAUGUUAUACAGGUAGCCAAGUGGUA
rnacentral:pre_miRNA from 1 species